rnacentral:lncRNA from 1 species
UGGGCGACAGAGAGAGACUCCAUCUCAAAAACAAAACAAAACAAAACAAAAAAAACAAAAAGUGAAGCCAACUCAAUUGUCUCAUAGAACUGAUCUUUACGGUGUUUUUAAAUAAACAUAGAAAUUGGCCCUCCCAGUCUUAAAACUUCAAAAACUUACAUUUGUCUUACCUCAGUUCCUUUCUCAGGAAUCCAAUCAUCAAGGCUCCCAGAUAGUAUCAAUGAACGGAAACUUACCAGAUCACGAUAUCUGGACAAUGAGAUGUCAGAUCCCCCUCAUCCAUCCUGAUUACCUAACUGACUACCUGCUUCCUGUUGGCCAACUACUCUUCCUUACCCCUCCCUAAUUCUUGUUUUCCCACAAAUGGUUACAUUUCUGUCCUGCUAUAGAAGCCCUUAAUUUUAAUUGGUCGAGGAGAUGGAUUUGAGACUGAUUUUUUGCUCUCCUUGGCUGUUGCACCUGAAUAGCCUUUUUCCCUGGCAAUACUUUUUGUCUCAGUGAUUGGCUUUCUGUGCAGUGAGCAAUGGGACCAAACUUCUGGUGUUUUGGUAACAAAUUUUGGUUUCCUGACUGUGAAUGCAUUGCUUGUGACUCAGCUGCCAUGAGCUGGGAGAGUUUCAAAAGCCCUCUAAGCAGCUACCUGACCAUUUUGGCCAGAGGUGGAUUUUCGUCUCUCCCCAUUUGGGCCCACUUCUGCCAACCCCAACCAUGUUCCUGAUUGCCUAGGAAGAACAGCCUUUGAAAUUUGACGUCUAUGUACAGAAAGGUACAAACUGUUGCCUAAGGAUACAGGGUGUGUGGCUGGUGGCCUCAACAGGCCCCACGGCUCAGGCACUCAGACCCAAGCUGGUCCCUCAGCCCAUAUUACUAAAUGCCUGACUUCAGAAAAAAAACGUAAACAAAAGACAGAGAUUGGAAGCAUCAGAAUUUUAUUCCAGUGACUCAAUCCCCAUUGUGUGAAGUAGACCAGAAUGAAUAAAUUGAACUUACUCAGCACCUCAAUUAUUAAAUGUAUCCACAGAAAUUCAUUCUGUCAAGUUAACUGUGGAGGUUGUUGUUGCUAUUGCAGACUAAAUGGUUUUCCUGGGAACUCUGACUCUGGCCACAAGAUCAAGACUGACAAAUUUCCUUUCUCUGUUUAUGGAGGGAGACUUCACAACAUUCACUGAAAGAGGAGCAAAGGACCUGGUUUUUGCCAUGACUGGCUUUGGCCCCGUGAAUGAAUGUUUUUCUGGCAUUGGAAAGCGGAUAGCAAAGAGAGCAGAACCACAAAUGGGCUAUGAGGAAAUGUGUUCAAUGAAGAAAACAAAAUCUCUGACAAGAUCCAACAUAGGACAACAUCUCAGCAUCUUCUGUGAUUUGUGAACCCAAGUAAAGCACUUCUUAGAGUUAUCUGGCACAUUCGCAACUAAUAGCUUUCUGUGAAUAAAUACUGUGGCAACC